GGGGUGCACACAGAUGGCCACCCCCAGCCCCCAUGCUCUCUGGUCACCGCUGAGCCUUGGAUCAGCCCCGCCCUCCGCUGGAGCCCGUGCAGACACGGUCCCUCUGCCUGAAACAGCAGCUCACUUCUUCCUGAAGCAGGCCUGGGAAGCCAGGUCCGGCUGGUCACAGAGUCCCUUUUCCAGAGGCCCUCCCGGGGAGCAGCGCUUGUCAUUCGGCCCACGCAGAGACUUCGCAUCCCGACAGGCCAAGGGGCACUGAUCCAUAGACUUGGCAGCAAAGGUGGGUGUCCUCGCCUGGUGCCUGGCUGGAGGUGGAGCGCUCCAGGGGUGGGCAGAGUCCCCGUCCAGGGGCCCAGGACCCACCUCUAGUGCCUGCGGCCCCGCCAUCUCCCCAGCCUCCAGUCUCCACAGCAACUCCUGGAGGUCUGUGCUCUCUCCCUUCUCGGGCCCCAGAGGGUCCACGCCUCCGCACCGCCAGAGAUCGGCUCGUCCGUCCCCUUUGGCAAGUGCCUGCCCCUGUCGCACAGGAAUCAGGCCAUAGGAUAUCCCCACCUCCCUCUGCCCGGCACCCUGGCCCCGAGCCCGCAGCCUCACCAUGAGCACAGCAGCACCUCUUGGAGCGUCUUCCGGAGCUCCUGGCUGCGGAAGGCGUAGAUGAGGGGGUCGACGAUGGAGUUGCAGAUGAUGAGGGUGAGGAAGAGGUUGAAGUUCUUGAAGACGCAGCCACAGAUGGGGUGUCGAGGGCAGAGGACCAUGAGCGAGAGGUGCAGGAAGAAGGGGCCCCAGCAGAGAAAGAAAAUGCCCAGCAGGAUGGUGAGCGUGGCCGCGCCCUUGAGGCCCAAGCCCUGGUGGACGGGGCGCUGCCGCUUAUGGAGCCGGGCGAUGCCCCGCGCGUGCUGGCACGCCCGGGCGAGCAUGUGGACGUACAGCACGGCCAUGAGCACCAGCAUGGCCACAAAGAAGCUGACGAGACAGA
rnacentral:lncRNA from 1 species